rnacentral:rRNA from 1 species
CGCGUAGGCGGCGCGGUAAGUCACUUGUGAAAUCUCUGAGCUUAACUCAGAACGGCCAGGUGAUACUGCAGUGCUAGAGUGCAGAAGGGGCAAUCGGAAUUCUUGGUGUAGCGGUGAAAUGCGUAGAUAUCAAGAGGAACACCUGAGGUGAAGACGGGUUGCUGGGCUGACACUGACGCUGAGGCGCGAAAGCCAGGGGAGCAAACG